UACGUAGGGUGCGAGCGUUAAUCGGAAUUACUGGGCGUAAAGUGUGCGCAGGCGGCGUUGCAAGUCGAACGUGAAAUCCCCGGGCUCAACCCGGGAACUGCGUCCGAUACUGGCAGGCUUGAAUCCGGGAGAGGGAUGUGGAAUUCCAGGUGUAGCGGUGAAAUGCGUAGAUAUCUGGAGGAACACCGGUGGCGAAGGCGGCAUCCUGGACCGGUAUUGACGCUGAUGCGCGAAAGCCAGGGGAGCAAACGGG
rnacentral:rRNA from 1 species